rnacentral:rRNA from 1 species
CCAAUAGCGUAUAUUAAAGUUGUUGCAGUUAAAAAGCUCGUAGUUGAAUUUCGGGGUUAGUACGCUGGUCAUGCCUUCGGUAUGUACUGGUGUUACCGAUUCCUACCUUCUGAAGAACCGUUAUGUCAUUAAUUUGGUGUGGCGGGGAAUCAGGACUGUUACUUUGAAAAAAUUAGAGUGUUUAAAGCAGGCUCGCGCUUGAAUACAUUAGCAUGGGAUAAUGAAAUAGGACGUUCGAUCCUAUUUUGUUGGUUUCUAGGAUUGACGUAAUUAUUAAUAGGGAUAGUUGGGGGCAUUAGUAUUUAAUUGUCAGGGGUGAAAUUCUGGGAUUUAUUGAAGACUAACUACUGCGAAAGCAUUUGCCAAGGAUGUUUUCAUUAAUCAAGAACGAAAGUUAGGGGAUCGAAGACGAUCAGAUACCGUCGUAGUCUUAACCAUAAACUAUGCCGACUAGGGAUCGGAUGAUGUUAUUUUUAAUGACUCAUUCGGCGCCUUACG